GCGAGCAGGUGCGAAAGCAGGUCAUAGUGAUCCGGUGGUUCUGAAUGGAAGGGCCAUCGCUCAACGGAUAAAAGGUACUCCGGGGAUAACAGGCUGAUACCGCCCAAGAGUUCAUAUCGACGGCGGUGUUUGGCACCUCGAUGUCGGCUCAUCACAUCCUGGGGCUGAAGUAGGUCCCAAGGGUAUGGCUGUUCGCCAUUUAAAGUGGUACGCGAGCUGGGUUUAGAACGUCGUGAGACAGUUCGGUCCCUAUCUGCCGUGGGCGCUGGAGAACUGAGGGGGGCUGCUCCUAGUACGAGAGGACCGGAGUGGACGCAUCACUGGUGUUCGGGUUGUCAUGCCAAUGGCACUGCCCGGUAGCUAAAUGCGGAAGAGAUAAGUGCUGAAAGCAUCUAAGCACGAAACUUGCCCCGAGAUGAGUUCUCCCUGAGACUUAGAGUCUCCUGAAGGAACGUUGAAGACGACGACGUUGAUAGGCCGGGUGUGUAAGCGCAGCGAUGCGUUGAGCUAACCGGUACUAAUGAACCGUGAGGCUU
rnacentral:rRNA from 1 species